UUGCACUCUGGCGGCAGGCCUCACACAUGCCAGUCGAACGGUAACAGGAAGCAGCUUGCUGCUUUGCUGACGAGUGGCGGACGGGUGAGUAAUGUCUGGGAAACUGCCUGAUGGAGGGGGAUAACUACUGGAAACGGUAGCUAAUACCGCAUAACGUCGCAAGACCAAAGAGGGGGACCUUCGGGCCUCUUGCCAUCGGAUGUGCCCAGAUGGGAUUAGCUAGUAGGUGGGGUAAAGGCUCACCUAGGCGACGAUCCCUAGCUGGUCUGAGAGGAUGACCAGCCACACUGGAACUGAGACACGGUCCAGACUCCUACGGGAGGCAGCAGUGGGGAAUAUUGCACAAUGGGCGCAAGCCUGAUGCAGCCAUGCCGCGUGUAUGAAGAAGGCCUUCGGGUUGUAAAGUACUUUCAGCGGGGAGGAAGGGAGUAAAGUUAAUACCUUUGCUCAUUGACGUUACCCGCAGAAGAAGCACCGGCUAACUCCGUG
rnacentral:rRNA from 1 species